CCUACGGGGGGCAGCAGUGAGGAAUAUUGGUCAAUGGGCUAAGGCCUGAACCAGCCAAGUCGCGUGAGGGAAGACGGUCCUAUGGAUUGUAAACCUCUUUUGUCGGGGAGCAACGAGGCCACGUGUGGCCGAAGUGAGAGUACCUGAAGAAAAAGCAUCGGCUAACUCCGUGCCAGCAGCCGCGGUAAUACGGAGGAUGCGAGCGUUAUCCGGAUUUAUUGGGUUUAAAGGGUGCGUAGGCGGGUUAUCAAGUCAGCGGUAAAAUCGUGGAGCUCAACUCCAUCCAGCCGUUGAAACUGAUGAUCUUGAGUGGGCGAGAAGUAUGCGGAAUGCGUGGUGUAGCGGUGAAAUGCAUAGAUAUCACGCAGAACUCCGAUUGCGAAGGCAGCAUACCGGCGCCCGACUGACGCUGAAGCACGAAAGCGUGGGUAUCGAACAGGAUUAGAUACCCUUGUAGUC
rnacentral:rRNA from 1 species